GUCGUAAGUACGUGAUGGCGAUCCUGCGGAGCUAGUAUGGUGUCUAGCAGAUUCGCGCCCUGGGAGGAUGGUGCAGCCGCUGCGCGAAUCUGGGACUCCGGGUUUAUUCAGGAACCUUGAACAAUCAUCGGACCCUGGGGAAAGCCAGCCCACAGCUUAUAUAGCCUCUGGGUAGCCAACCCCAGGGUGCCACAUGGGCAAUGCAGACCACAUACAUGGAAGCAAGCCAGAUCCUCAGCCUUAGCCAAAUGUGGAGUUGUUUGUGACAGAGAGCACUCACCAUCGGGAAGGUGGAAGGCGGAAACCAGCUCCAUCUUUAAGGCGCGGCAUAACGCAGCUCUCUACAGUUCCCCCUUUUUGUUUUAGACGCAUCAGGUGUUGUAGUUAUAAAUAAAAAAUUAAAACCAAA